GUGCCAGCAGCCGCGGUAAUACGGGGGAUGCAAGCGUUAUCCGGAAUCAUUGGGCGUAAAGCGCCUGUAGGUUGUUUAGUAAGUCCAUUGUUAAAGACCAGGGCUUAACCCUGGGAAAGCAAUAGAAACUACUAGACUUGAGUAUGGCAGGGGUAGAGGGAAUUUCUAGUGUAGCGGUGAAAUGCGUAGAUAAAGGAAGGAACACCAGUGGCGAAG
rnacentral:rRNA from 1 species